rnacentral:hammerhead_ribozyme from 1 species
CUCUGUUCUCGGGAUGUGUAUCCCGACUGAUGAGCUCGAAAGAGUGAAAACAGAG